rnacentral:rRNA from 1 species
GUCCAGACUCCUACGGGAGGCAGCAGUGGGGAAUAUUGCACAAUGGGGGAAACCCUGAUGCAGCGACGCCGCGUGAGCGAUGAAGUAUUUCGGUAUGUAAAGCUCUAUCAGCAGGGAAGAAGAUGACGGUACCUGACUAAGAAGCCCCGGCUAACUACGUGCCAGCAGCCGCGGUAAUACGUAGGGGGCAAGCGUUAUCCGGAUUUACUGGGUGUAAAGGGAGCGUAGACGGCGGUGCAAGCCAGAUGUGAAAGCCCGGGGCUCAACCCCGGGACUGCAUUUGGAACUGUAUGGCUGGAGUGUCGGAGAGGCAGGCGGAAUUCCUAGUGUAGCGGUGAAAUGCGUAGAUAUUAGGAGGAACACCAGCGGCGAAGGCGGCCUGCUGGACGAUGACUGACGUUGAGGCUCGAAAGCGUGGGGAGCAAACAGGAUUAGAUACCCGGGUA